rnacentral:rRNA from 1 species
UGCCAGCAGCCGCGGGAAUACGGAGGGGGUUAGCGUUGUUCGGAAUUACUGGGCGUAAAGCGCACGUAGGCGGAUUAGAAAGUUAGAGGUGAAAUCCCGGGGCUCAACCCCGGAACUGCGCUUGAUACUGUUAAGCUUGAGUUCGGGAGAGGAAAGUGGAAUUUCUAGUGUAGAGGUGGAAUUCGUAGAUAUUAGAAGGAACACCAGAGGCGAAGGCGACUUUCUGGACCGAUACUGACGCUGAGGUGCGAAAGCGUGGGGAGCAAACAGGAUUAGAUA